rnacentral:tRNA from 1 species
GUAAAGUCAGCUAACUAAGCUCUUGGGCCCAUACCCCAAACAUGUAGGUUAAACCCCUUCUUUUACUA